rnacentral:rRNA from 1 species
UGGGGGAUAUUGCACAAUGGGGGAAACCCUGAUGCAGCGACGCCGCGUGAAGGAUGAAGUAUUUCGGUAUGUAAACUUCUAUCAGCAGGGAAGAAAAUGACGGUACCUGACUAAGAAGCCCCGGCUAACUACGUGCCAGCAGCCGCGGUAAUACGUAGGGGGCAAGCGUUAUCCGGAUUUACUGGGUGUAAAGGGAGCGUAGACGGAGAGGCAAGUCUGAUGUGAAAGGCCGGGGCUCAACCCCGGGACUGCAUUGGAAACUGUUUAUCUAGAGUGUCGGAGAGGCAAGUGGAAUUCCUAGUGUAGCGGUGAAAUGCGUAGAUAUUAGGAGGAACACCAGUGGCGAAGGCGGCUUGCUGGACGAUGACUGACGUUGAGGCUCGAAAGCGUGGGGAGCAAACA